UGUCCGCUCAGCGGAGGGAAGCGCCUUUCCUACAGGAUAUCAAUGCAAGCCUGAAUAAGAAAAACAAUUUUUUGCACCUAAGCCAUGGCAUAUCAGUUACACAGAAAUCCCACUUUGGGAAACAGUCUUCAGGAAAGCCUAGAUGAGCUCAUACAGUCUCAACAGAUCACUCCCCAACUUGCCCUUCAAGUUCUCCUUCAGUUUGAUAAGGCUAUAAAUUCAGCAUUGGCUCAGAGGGUCAGGAACAGAGUCAAUUUCAGGGGCUCUCUAAAUACGUAGAUUCCACGAUAAUGUGUGGACUUUUGUUUUGAAUGAUGUUGAAUUCAGAGAGGUGACAGAGCUUAUUAAAGUGGAUAAAGUGAAAAUUGUAGCCUGUGAUGGCAAAAAUACUGGCUCCAAUACUACAAAAUGA